GCUGGGCCGGGAGCCCGCCAGGGCGGCCCGCCGCUUCGUGCGCGGCCACCCCCGGGUCGCCGCCGCGGCCCGGCAC
rnacentral:tRNA from 1 species